UGUUCCCUUGUUAGUUCAUUCAUAACACUUUUAUUUGUUAUUAAAUCAGAUAGAUGGAGGCACUUCACCCACAAAUAUACAAAUGAAUCGAUGAAAUUGUGGGCAAACUCUUAGUCUCAUGUCCAUCUAAUGUUGACCCAAUCAAAAUGAAAACUGCAACGAUAGUUGGAAGUGAAAAGGGCAAACAGAUUUCAUGGCAGUUAUAAAUGUCGUUUAUCAAUUUAAAAAGACAUUAAUGAUCAAAUGUGUGUAUUUUUGUCAAUUGAAUAGCUCAAUCCACUUGGAUAAAAUAUUAUAAAGCCAUACUAGCAUGCGAACUGGAUUAUGACAAUUUUAUUUUCUCUUAUUUGUUGCGAGAGCAAGUUAACGCUACAUUAACGUUUCAAAAACUUAUCAAUUCCAAUCAGACAACUCAGCUUCCCUUUCUGGUGGAUUAUUUAACCUCAAAUUUGUUCAAUUUCACACCAACAGAAUCGAACUGUGAAUUGAACACUUAGUCAACACAUUAAUUGCAUGGAAUAGAAUGGAAUGAAAAAUUUGGAAAUGGACUUGAAAUGCAACGACAAAAGCCGAAUAAAAACUUAACCCAAUAAAUUGGCCAUCUACAACUUUACCAUCAAUACAUCCUCAAUGGUUACCAAUGAAUUUACCAUGCUAGACACUAAUGAUUCAUUGGUCUAUUUGAACAAAAAACAUGAGCAAAUAAGCAUUGAGCAAAAGGCGAUUGAGCCAAUUUCAAACAAGCAAAAAAAUAAAUUUAAUAUUCGAUAGAGUGCGUAUUCCAAUAAUGUUUAAUUAAUUCAGCACAAAUGUCAAAGGCAAAAUAAAGCACUUUCAUGAGUAA